rnacentral:tRNA from 1 species
AGCCAGCUUAGCUCAGAUGGAAGAGCAUCCGCCCUGUAAGCGGAAGUGCUUCGGUUCAAAUCCGAGAGUUGGCUU